GUUGGGAUGUGGUGGUCCUAAAAGGUGGGACGUGGUGACCCUAAAAGAUGGGGGAUGGUGGUCAUAAACUUGAGAUGUGGUGGUCCUAAAAGGUGGGACGUGGUGGCCCCAAAACUGGGGAUGUGGUGGCCCUAAAAUGUGGGACGUGGUGGCCCUAGAAGUUGGGGGGUGGUGGUCAUAAAGCUUGAGAUGUGGUGGCCCUAAAAGGUGGGAUGUGGUGGCCCCAAAACUGGGGAUGUGGUGGCCCUAAAAUGUGGGAUGUGGUGGCCCUAAAAAUGGGACAUGAUGACCCCAAAACUUUGGAUGUGGUGGCCCUAAAAUGUGGGAUGUGGUGGCCCCAAAACUUUGGAUGUGGUGGCCCCAAAACUUUGGAUGUGGUGACCCUAAAAUAUGGGAUGUGGUGGCCCUAAAAGUUGGGGGAUGGUGGUCAUAAACUUGAGAUGUGGUGGUCCUAAAAGGUGGGACAUGAUGACCCCAAAACUGUGGAUGUGGUGGCCCUAAAAUGUGGGACGUGGUGGCCCUGAAAGUUGGGGAGUGGUGGUCAUAAAGCUUGAGAUGUCGUGGCCCUAAAAGGUGGGACGUGGUGACCCCAAAACUUUGGAUGUGGUGGCCAUAAAAUACAGGAUGUGGUGGCCCUAAAAGAUGGGGGAUGGUGGUCCUAAAGCUUGAGAUGUGGUGGUCCUAAAAUGUGGGACGUGGUGGCCCCAAAAUUUCGGAUGUGGUGGCCCUAGAAGUUGGAAUGUGGUGGCCAUAAAAUAUGGGAUGUGGUGGCUCUAAAAUGUGGGAUGUGGUGGCCCCAAAACUGUGGAUGUGGUGACCCUAAAAGGUGGGACAUGAUGACCCCAAAACUUUGGACAUGGUGCCCCUAAAAUGUGGGACAUGGUGGCCCUAGAAGUUGGGGGGGUGGUGGUCAUAAAGCUUGAGAUGUGGUGGCCCCAAAACUUUGGACACAGUGACCCUAAUUUUGGGACGUGGUGGCCCUAAAAGUUGGGACGUGGUGGCCCCAAAACUUUGGAUGUGGUGGCCAUAAAAUGUGGGAUGUGGUGGCCCUAAAAUGUGGGACACGGUGACCCCAAUGUUGGCCCUAAAACUUGGACGCGGUGGCCCCAGAGGUGGGAACACAGCUUGGGGUUUCUGGCCCUGGAUUUGGGGUCACUGAGGCACCACAGUUUGGGACGUGGCAGCCCCACGGGUUUAUUUGGGGGGGGUUGGUGGUCCUGGGGCCGCUCCUGCAUCCCCCCCCCCGCGUUCUGUGGGUUCCCCCGCCCUGAUUGGUUUUGUAAUUCAUGCCAUAAAGCGCUUUUGGGGUUUUUCCUUUC